rnacentral:rRNA from 1 species
AAUCAACGCUGGCGGCGUGCCUAACACAUGCAAGUCGAGCGGGAAAGGGGGCUUCGGCCCCUGAGUAUAGCGGCGGACGGGUGAGUAACACGUGGGUAAUUUGCCCUUGGGUGUGGAAUAACUCAGGGAAACUUGAGCUAAUACCGCAUGACAUCCCCUUCACACACGAGUCGGGGAUCAAAGCCGGGGACCCUUCGGGGCCUGGCGCCUGAGGAGAAGCCCGCGCCCGAUUAGCUAGUUGGNGAGGUAAUGGCUCACCAAGGCUUCGAUCGGUAGCCGGCCUGAGAGGGCGGACGGCCACACUGGGACUGAGACACGGCCCAGACUCCUACGGGAGGCAGCAGUGGGGAAUUUUGUCAAUGGGGGAAACCCUGAACAAGCAACGCCGCGUGGAGGACGACGACCUGGUUGUAAC